UACGUAGGGUGCGAGCGUUGUCCGGAAUUAUUGGGCGUAAAGGGCUCGUAGGCGGUUUGUCACGUCGGGAGUGAAAACUCAGGGCUUAACCCUGAGCCUGCUUCCGAUACGGGCAGACUAGAGGUAUGCAGGGGAGAAUGGAAUUCCUGGUGUAGCGGUGAAAUGCGCAGAUAUCAGGAGGAACACCAGUGGCGAAGGCGGUUCUCUGGGCAUUACCUGACGCUGAGGAGUGAAAGUGUGGGGAGCGAACAGG
rnacentral:rRNA from 1 species